rnacentral:rRNA from 1 species
GAGGAAUAUUGGUCAAUGGACGAGAGUCUGAACCAGCCAAGUAGCGUGAAGGAUGACUGCCCUAUGGGUUGUAAACUUCUUUUAUACGGGAAUAAAGUGAGGCACGUGUGCCUUUUUGUAUGUACCGUAUGAAUAAGGAUCGGCUAACUCCGUGCCAGCAGCCGCGGUAAUACGGAGGAUCCGAGCGUUAUCCGGAUUUAUUGGGUUUAAAGGGAGCGUAGGCGGACGCUUAAGUCAGUUGUGAAAGUUUGCGGCUCAACCGUAAAAUUGCAGUUGAUACUGGGUGUCUUGAGUACAGUAGAGGCAGGCGGAAUUCGUGGUGUAGCGGUGAAAUGCUUAGAUAUCACGAAGAACUCCGAUUGCGAAGGCAGCUUGCUGGACUGUAACUGACGCUGAUGCUCGAAAGUGUGGGUAUCAAACAGGAUUAGAUACCCUGGUAGUCCACACAGUAAACGAUGAAUACUCGCUGUUUGCGAUAUACAGUAAGCGGCCAAGCGAAAGCGUUAAGUAUUCCACCUGGGGAGUACGCCGGCAACGGUGAAACUCAAAGGAAUUGACGGGGGCCCGCACAAGCGGAGGAACAUGUGGUUUAAUUCGAUGAUACGCGAGGAACCUUACCCGGGCUUGAAUUGCAACUGAAUGAUGUGGAGACAUGUCAGCCGCAAGGCAGUUGUGAAGGUGCUGCAUGGUUGUCGUCAGCUCGUGCCGUGAGGUGUCGGCUUAAGUGCCAUAACGAGCGCAACCCUUAUCGAUAGUUACCAUCAGGUUAUGCUGGGGACUCUGUCGAGACUGCCGUCGUAAGAUGUGAGGAAGGUGGGGAUGACGUCAAAUCAGCACGGCCCUUACGUCCGGGGCUACACACGUGUUACAAUGGGGGGUACAGAAGGCAGCUACACGGCGACGUGAUGCUAAUCCCGAAAGCCUCUCUCAGUUCGGAUUGGAGUCCGCAACCCGACUCCAUGAAGCUGGAUUCGCUAGUAAUCGCGCAUCAGCCACGGCGCGGUGAAUACGUUCCCG